rnacentral:rRNA from 1 species
AUUGAACGCUGGCGGCAUGCCUUACACAUGCGAGUCGAACGGCAGCACGGGGCAACCUGGUGGCGAGUGGCGAACGGGUGAGUAAUGCAUCGGAACGUACCUUUCAGUGGGGGAUAACGUAGCGAAAGUUACGCUAAUACCGCAUAUUCUGUGAGCAGGAAAGCAGGGGAUCGCAAGACCUUGCGCUGAUUGAGCGGCCGAUGUCAGGUUAGCUAGUUGGUGAGGUAAAGGCUCACCAAGGCAACGAUCUGUAGCGGGUCUGAGAGGAUGAUCCGCCACACUGGAACUGAGACACGGUCCAGACUCCUACGGGAGGCAGCAGUGGGGAAUUUUGGACAAUGGGGGCAACCCUGAUCCAGCCAUGCCGCGUGAGUGAAGAAGGCCUUCGGGUUGUAAAGCUCUUUCGGCCGGGAAGAAAUCGCACGGGCUAAUACCCUGUGUGGAUGACGGUACCGGAAUAAGAAGCACCGGCUAACUACGUGCCAGCCGCCGCAGUAACAC